rnacentral:rRNA from 1 species
UUACGCUGUUAUCCCUAAGGUAAGUGAUUUUAAAAUUCUAAAUUUUAGGAUUUUUUAUUCAUUAAUUAAUGUUUAUAUAUUAAAAGUUUAUUUAAUUUUAAAAUUACCCCAAUUAAAUAUAUAAAUAAGUUUUUAAAAUUAUUAUUAUAAAAUUCUAUAGGGUCUUCUCGUCUUUUAAUAAAAUUUAAGCAUUUUUACUUAAAAUUUAAAUUUAAAUUUUAAUUAUUUUUAUAUAGUUUAUAUCUCAUUAAAUCAUUCAUUCUAGUUUUUAAUUAAAAAACUAAUUAUUAUGCUACCUUUGUACAGUUAGUUAUACUGCAGCCAUUAAAAUUUAUCAUUGGGCAGAUUUGACUUAAAAUUAUAAUCUAUAAGACAUGUUUUUGUUAAACAGGCG